UUUGUAUUUGCAGUACGAAAGAUCAAAGAUAGCCUCUUCAUGAAAGCUAUUGUUUGGGGAUGAGCCCGCGUACCAUUAGCUUGUUGUGGGGUAAUGGCCUACCAAGGCGACGAUGGUUAGCUGGUCUGAGAGGAUGAUCAGCCACACUGGAACUGGAACACGGUCCAGACUCCUACGGGAGGCAGCAGUGAGGAAUUUUUGCGCAAUGGGCGAAAGCCUGACGCAGCAACGCCGCGUGAGUGAUGAAGGAUUUCGGUUCGUAAAGCUCUGUCAAGUGGGAAGAAGUUAUCAUAUGUUAAUAGCAUAUGGUAUUGACGGUACCACUGAAGGAAGCACCGGCUAACUCCGUG
rnacentral:rRNA from 1 species